UACGAAGGGGGCUAGCGUUGCCCGGAAUCACUGGGCGUAAAAGGGUGCGUAGGCGGGUCUUUAAGUCAGGGGUGAAAUCCUGGAGCUCAACUCCAGAACUGCCUUUGAUACUGAGGAUCUUGAGUUCGGGAGAGGUGAGUGGAACUGCGAGUGUAGAGGUGAAAUUCGUAGAUAUUCGCAAGAACACCAGUGGCGAAGGCGGCUCACUGGCCCGAUACUGACGCUGAGGCACGGAAAGCGAUGGG
rnacentral:rRNA from 1 species